UGGGGAAUAUUGGACAAUGGGGGAAACCCUGAUCCAGCGAUGCCGCGUGAGUGAAGAAGGCCUUCGGGUUGUAAAGCUCUUUUGUAGGGGAGGAAGGGGGUUUGUGAAGAACAAGUUUCCUUGACGUUACCCUAAGAAUAAGCACCGGCUAACUCUGUGCCAGCAGCCGCGGUAAUACAGAGGGUGCGAGCGUUAAUCGGAAUGACUGGGCGUAAAGGGUGCGUAGGUGGUUUGCUAAGUUAGCUGUGAAAGCCCCGGGCUUAACCUGGGAAUGGCAGCUAAAACUGGCAGACUGGAGUAGGUGAGAGGAGUGUGGAAUUUCCGGUGUAGCGGUGAAAUGCGUAGAGAUCGGAAAGAACACCAGUGGCGAAGGCGGCACUCUGGCACCAUACUGACACUGAGGCACGAAGGCGUGGGGAGCAAACAGG
rnacentral:rRNA from 1 species